CGUAAACAGGCAUGCCGACGUCGUGCAACAGACGUAGCCAGAUUCACACACACGCGCAAUGAAUAUUAAGUGACCACAUCACUCAAUUACUCUUUUCUUAUACUGUUUUAUUGGUGUUUUUCCAUCCUAUUUCCAUUUGAUUUACCUGCCCUGUUGUUUUAUGCCAUUUUAGCUGUUCGGCUGUUGUUUUGAAUUGGUCUUAUAAAUCAGUUUGACUUCACUCUUACCUUUUUUUUUCUUUUUUUUUAAAUUUCUACAGCAUCUUUAAGAGGCAACACAAGCAUGCAUGCAGAUCCCCAAGUGCUUGCUUAUUGCAAACUUGAUCCACUCAUUCACACAUACAUUUACACAAGCACCUUUUUCUAUGGCUAAGCAAGUUUAACUUAACAGUCCCACACUCACACUCUGAUGGAUGCACUUAGCAUUCAAUAUUUUGCUGAAGGACAGUUUGACAUAUAGAAAAACACUUACUUCUGACUAGUCAACAGCCCACUCCAUCUUCUGAACCACACUUCCCAUAAAACAUAAGUUUGCAUUUAGAUAUAAUAACCGGGAUCUUCUUAACAGCCUGCUUUUAGUUUCAGAAAGAACUUCAUGUUCUGGGUAAAGGGACUCCAUCCACACAAACAUGAACUAGUCCUCCACACAAACAUGAACUAGUCCUCCACAUUCAGUUUUUCAUAUAGACUUUUAAUUUACACAUAAAUAGUAGAGAAACUACAAGAACAUUCUGAAAUACAUCUGCAAUAACAGCUUCUAAUGAUAACAUUUUCUCAGUAAAUGACAACUUUGUCCAUUUAUUUUAUAAACAAGAUGAGUGAGUUGUCACUUUUGCUCUUUUUGAUUUUGCUCAAACAUCACCAUCAUCGCCACCACCCCUGUGUCUCUUUCUUUUUCAUUUCACAUUAUAAUAAAUAGUAUUAUCACAAUUGGGGUCUCAGGAGUUGAUACUCAAAUAAAUAAACAAAAAAAAGCAAAAAAACAAAACAAAACGCACACACACACACACACACAGAGAGAUAGGUAGAAUGACUGUGAAGAUCAGUAUUCACAUGUAUGACAUUUUAUACAAUAAGGUGAAAUAAUUUACAUAUAAAUAUACAACACUGACAAACUUCAGGCCUUUACUCUCGGAUGCCCUUUCUGGAGAGAAAGCACGUGUACAGAGUUUUUCAUUUCCAAAACAACGAGGCAGAUUCUGCAGCUGAUGGCAGCAAUAUUUAUUUAGUGAUAAUCAUAAGACGUUACGACAGGAAAACGUCUUGUGGGAGAAUGAACCUUCACUGUGUCUUACAGCUGCUCAGUUCCAUAUGGUACACAGUCUGCUAAUGUUAAUGUGACACAGGACAUAAUUUCAGGUAACUCUGACUUUAUAAAUAAAGUAUUAAAUAUAAUCAGAUGUGACAUUAAUUAAGGACAAGGUAAAAACGGUGGUUUUGAAAUGCUGUUAAUAGAGUUGUAAACUGC
ensembl:lncRNA